rnacentral:rRNA from 1 species
AUUGAACGCUGGCGGCAUGCCUUACACAUGCAAGUCGAACGGUAACGCGGGGCAACCUGGCGACGAGUGGCGAACGGGUGAGUAAUGCAUCGGAACGUGCCUAUCAGUGGGGGAUAACGCUUCGAAAGGAGUGCUAAUACCGCAUAUUCUCUGAGGAGGAAAGCAGGGGACCGUUAGGGCCUUGCGCUGAUAGAGCGGCCGAUGUCGGAUUAGCUAGUUGGUAGGGUAAAGGGCCUACCAAGGCGACGAUCCGUAGCGGGUCUGAGAGGAUGAUCCGCCACACUGGGACUGAGACACGGCCCAGACUCCUACGGGAGGCAGCAGUGGGGAAUUUUGGACAAUGGGCGGAAGCCUGAUCCAGCCAUGCCGCGUGAGUGAUGAAGGCCCUAGGGUUGUAAAGCUCUUUUACCCGGGAUGAUAAUGACAGUACCGGGAGAAUAAGCUCCGGCUAACUCCGUG